rnacentral:lncRNA from 1 species
ACGAUUGAGUUAGUAGGAUUCUACAUUUGUCAAACGUUGGCUUCUACAGUAUAACAAACCUUUAUAUUAAAUAAUUCUAUGUGUAGGCAAAAUUUUAAUAUAAAUAAUUAGUAGGAGAUAUUUAAGAUGAUAAUUUCACUACAGGAAAUGUAUGUAUUAAUAGCAUAGUAGUAUAGUGUUUUUAACAUUUAUGCUAUUGUAUACCAACACUGACCUUUAUAAUAGCGCUUAUAAAAUUUAAACGCUAUGUUUGUUAUCGCGGGAAAAUAAAAAAAUUAGCCGCGUUAAUUUGCAAAGUGUAAACGCCUAACCAUUGCAGAUCCAAAAUUAACUACUAUUGUAAAUUGACACAACACAUAAUUUAUUUUUCCCGCCAGAUACUUAGUGAAAAAACAAGUGUCUAAUCUUUUUUUAUUUUCCUUCUCAUCCUCGUUUUUCACUUCCCUCUUAUUCCAUUUCGUUUCUCAACCCUCCAAAAAAAAACUAAACACAAGAUAAACCCUAAAUCUUAGACCAUAAACUUAAAACACAACCCUAAAACUCAAAAAUUUUCUUAUUUUAAUUAUAAAUCUUAAGUUUAAAUAUAUUCAAGUUUUAACCUUUUAAAUUUUUAAUUUCAAACAUUAAUCUAAGCCUCAAACACUAAAUUAUACACUUAUAUAUAUCAUACCCUAAAUUAAUCACAUCCCCUAAACUCUAACUAAAAUUCUUAAAAUUCUAUUUUUUUAUUAAUUUAAAAAAAUUAAUUUUAAUUUCAAAUCUCAAAUCCAAUUCUCUAACCCUAAACUUAAAUAUAUACCAUAACAAAAAUCAUAUACCCUAAAUCAUAUUACAUAUACUCUAAACUUAUAUUUUAAAACUAAAUUUUAAAUACAAAAUAAAUGUAAUCAAUAAUUUGAAUAUAAUUUAUUUUUUAUAUAAAUAAAAUUAUUUAAACAAUAAAUUAUAAUUUCUAAAAUAAUUAUUAAUAAAAAUAGUUUUGGAUUGAUUAAUUUUCGACCACUGAUUGGUUUUAUUCCAAAGGUUAGAAGUUAAUUUUAGUUAAUCCUAUUACUUUCUCUUUAUUGGUCAAUGAUUUGUGGUCAUUGAUUGUUUUUCUACAGAGAUUAAUCUUCUCCAUCUUCUCCAUCAUUCGGCCAUCUUUUCUCAAUCUUCUUCAUCCAUCCUUGAAUCGUUAAACCUAAAAUCACAAAGUCUUCAGAUCUGCACACAGAGCUUGAUUCUAAUCAACCUCUUACGAUUCAACAUGUCUGGAUUCAACCCUCUCUUUCUCUCUCGCUCUCCCUCUCUCUCUCUCUCUCUCUCUCUCUCUCUCUCUCUCUCUCUCUCUCUCUCUCUCUCUCUCUCUCUCUCUCUCUCUCUCUCUCUCUCUCUCUCUCUCUCUCUCUCUCUCUCUCUCUCUCUCUCUCUCUCUCUCUCUCUCUCUCUCUCUCUCUCUCUCUCUCUCUCUCUCUCUCUCUCUCUCUCUCUAUCUCUAUCUCUAUCUCUAUCUCUCUCACUCAGCUAUGAUGAAAGCUUCGGCGACAACGCUUGACUCGAGUCAGAGAUGGCGAGUGACAACAGAGCAGCGCCGGUGGCAAGACGGAAGAUGGCUGUCCUUCAUAAGCAGAGGAGGAAAAGAGGCUUCGAUGGUUCAGCUCGCCGGAGAUGAAUAAAGGGGAAGUCUCAGCCUCUCUUUCCCAUGAACCUCGCCGGUCAAGCUCUCUCAAUCUCUCUACAACUUUUGCAAGUCUUUACUUCUGAAAUUUUAGGUUCUUUUGUGACUUAAAUCCAUAUGAGCUCAUUAGUAUUCGUGGAACUAAUUGUUUGGGGGAUUUAAUCUUAAUUCUUGUAAUUAUCUUUGUUUAUUUAAUCUAGCUUUGGUACUUAGGUUGAUGGGUUUUGCGCCUGCUACUGUCACCUUGCUCGUUUUUAUAACUUGAGGAAAUUAAGGAUCUUGUUGUUGACUUGAUGAGUAGUGAUGAAGAUAGUCUAGAAAGUAACACUUGAAUAUGUUUGAGCAUUUUUACUUCAAAUACUAUUUCUCUUUUCUAUUUUGUAGCUGGGAUUAUAAGAAACAGUUUCAGGGUUUGUCCUUUUUGAAUCUAAAUAAGUGGCAUGGUUUUGUAGAGUUUGAUGAUGUUAUUGGAAAGGUGCUGAGUGACAAGACUGUUGGCAAAGGUGACGAUGCUUUCAACACCUUCUUCAGCGAAACCGGUGCAGGGAAGCAUGUCCCUCAUGUUGUCUUUGUCGACCUUGAGCCCACCAUGAUCGACGAUGUUAGAACCCGUACUUACCGUCAGCUUUUCCACCUUGAACAGCUCAUCAGUGGUAAAGAAGACGCAGAUAACAUUACAGCAGUACGGUGAGAAAAAGUGAUGUUUUGGCCCUAUCUAUUGAUACAUCUUUUGAAGAAGAAAAACUAAUGCAUUUAUAUCUUAAAUGGUUUCUCAGCUGUUUACAUGGGGUUGGAAUCAAAGAGGUACAUUAGGACAUCCACCAAAGACGAAAACAGAAAGCCAAUGUCAAGAUUACACAGGUUAAGUUUGGAUUGUUCUUUUAAGAUGUAUUCUCAGGUUUGAAUAUUGAAUUACUUGUUCUGUUAUGAGACUUGCAUUUGAUUCUUAACGUAGAGAAAGGAAGCAAUGAGGAUUCUAGUCGGAGGAGAGAACUAGAAGGAGAGUCGGAGUAGACUCGUUGGUGUGAGUCCGAGAGAGAGACUUCAAGAGGCAGAGAGUUUUGAUUUUUUUUUUCUAAGUGUUUAGGCUUGUUAGUGCUUUGUGGGAUGUUUUGUGCUUUAAUGAUAAAUUUUGGCUAAAAAUGAAUUGGAGCCAAAACCCCAAAAUAUUAUUGGAGCCAAAUCUUUUUUUUUUAUUUAUCAAAUUGGAGCCAAAUCUUAUGGAGGGAAAUAUAACUGGAACAAAAUAUUAUCCUCUUGUAAUCCCUAAAACUAUAGAUUUUCAUAUUUUAAAGUGUAACCCCUGAAACUAUAACCCUGAAGAUAGUCAUCCUUGUCCUUCUUGUUAGACCAAUGAUAAUAUUCCUUCAUUUUUCAAUCAUUAAUUAAUUGUACCUUUUUUUAAUCAAUUUUUACAUGUAUUAUAAUUAUAUUAUAGUUUGAGUUUAAGUUUAAAAUUUAAAUAUAAGUUUAAUGAUCAGAUUUAUAGCUUGGAGAAUAAAAAUAGAGAUUUAGGGUAUAUGGUAUGGAAUAUAGGGUUUGGGUUUAAGAAUGAGAUAUAUAUAUAUAUCAUUUUAUUUUAACUUUGUCUAUCUAGAUUUAGAAUAGAAUAUAGGGUUUGAGUUUAAGAACUUAAUUAUGUUGAAUUAGGGAUUUUAAUCUCGGAUAUUAAAUCUAAACCUCAUACCCUAAACUAUACACAUAUAUAUAUCAUAACUCUAAAUUAAUCACACUCUAAUAUAACUUCAAUUUUAAACUUAAAAUCAAAAUUCAAUCAUAUUGUUUAUUGCAAAAUAGUUUUAUAUAAUUUAUAUGUUUGAGUGUAAACUAAAGAAUAUAUAUGUAUAGUAGCUUAGGGGUUUAUACAUUACACCUCAAACCCUAACAUUACACUUCAAACCGUAAACUCUACAUCCAAAUCUAAAUACAAACUGUCAUAUUAUUAUUUUCAAACAAUAAUCUCAAAUCUUAUCAUAACUCUAAAUAUCAUAUGUUUAAAUUCAUAAACUAAACUUCAAAUCUAAUAUUCUAUUCUUAGCUCUUAAAUCUUAAAACUAGCUUUACACUCAAAUUUAUACCCAAUUUCAAAAAUUUAAAGCUUAAAAUUUAAAUUAUAAACUACAAAAUAUAAAUUUUGAAUAAAACAUUAAUUUUAAAAAUGUAAAUACAAAAAAAAAUAUCAAAUAAUGAAAUACAAGACACAAAAAAAUAAAAAAAGAAAGACAAAGCUCUCUUGCCCAAUUAGAUCUAUAUACAAUUAUUCCAAAGGUUAGAAGUUAAUCUUAGUUAAUCCUAUUACUUUCUCUUUAUUGGUCAAUGAUUUGUGGCUAUUGAUUGUUUUUCUCCUGAGAACAAUCUUCUCCAUCACUCGGCCAUCUUUUCUCAUUCUUCUCCAUCCAUCCUUGAAUCGUUAAACCUAAAAUCACAAAGUCUUCAGAUCUGCACACAGAGCUUGACUCUAAUCAACCUUUUACGAUUCAACCUGUCUGGAUUCAACCCUCUCUCUCUCUAUCUCUAUCUCUCUCACUCAGCCAUGAUGAAAGCUUCGGCGACAACGCUUGACUCGAGUCAGAGAUGGCGAGUGACAACAGAGCAGCGCCGGUGGCAAGGCGGAAGACGGAUGUCCUUCAUAAGCAGAGGAGGAGAAGAGGCUUCGAUGGUUCAGCUCGCCGGAGAUGAAUAAAGGGGAAGUCUCAGCAUCUCUUUGCCGUGAACCUCGCCGGUCAAGCUCUCUCAAUCUCUC